AUGGCGGACUGGGAGAUGCAUGAUUUAGAGACUUUGGUGCAAUCAAAGCGUGGAUUAAACUUGCAUAGACCGGAGUUGUGUUCGAUGGAUUCAGACGGUGUAAGAGAUAGCGGCGACGAACCAUGUGCCAAAAUUGUCGUCAACCAACAGGCACCGGAACCUAAUAAAUCAUAUGGGUUGCUAUCGAGAAGUGCUUCCCACUUCACCGAUAAUGGUCGAUGUGCUCCUGCCAAUAAGGGCUUCGCAAUGAUGCAGAUCUCUGAGCUGGAGGUGACGUCUUCAAUGGCAUGGAGAUUGCGCUAUGGAUUUGGACGUUUGUCUUAG
rnacentral:rRNA from 1 species